UUCCCCCGUGCUCUCUCAGUCUCUCUCUUCUGCAACUCUCUCUUUCUCUCUUCUGCAACCUCCUCUUUCACCACCUCUAGACCACCAAAUGGCGAGCUGCGAGCAUCGAUAGACUCGUCUCUUCCUCCUUAUCACGCAUGUGGGAGUUGUUUACGACGAUUUGGCCGGAAAUGUGGAGAUCGAAGCCAACAUUUUUACUGUAGCAAAUUAGUCAACGCCGAUUUCCGGCCACCUCCAGUCAUAAACCCAGGUCCAUUAGAAGCGCCUUAAGCCGCUCUUCAUGCUCGCCAAGUCUCAUAACCCAGAUCGAAGCAUGGAGGAAGAAAGCAUAAUUGGAAAAUUUCACUGUACAUCGGAGUGCUUAAUUGUUCGGCUACUUCAAGGUGAUUGACGGUUUGAGUUGGUGGACGAUUGUGGAUCGUAUUUUGAGCUGAAUUGAAGACGCAGCGGGAUUAUCGAGCGGGUAAUCCUACAGGACAGGAGAACCAGGACGGUGAUCGUGCGGUUAGAGCAAUUGUUAGAGUUUUACGACAAUUGUAAGUUGUGAGGUGUGUUAUGCUCAUUUGAGCUUUAUAAUAUAUUGUGAGAGUGAAUUGUAAUAAUGAACUCGAAGUUUCGAGAUUUGGUUUUUUUGUAAUUGUAAUUAUUCAG